rnacentral:misc_RNA from 1 species
GAAUUUGAUGUCUUUACCUGAGUGUAUUGCUCAUCUCUGAUGUCUUUACUGAGGAUGAUUUUUGGAUUGGAAUUUAUCAUUUUUCAAAUGAGAUGGAAAGUAUCUAACUCCUUCUACAAGUCAAGAACUCUAAUUGUUUGUACCUUUUGUUUGGUACUUAAGGCUGUUAAAGAUCAAUGCAGCGAAUGGAGGAACUUCAGCUAGUGUUUAUCCUUUUAAUAGUGAAAUCCAAUCUGGCGGACUGAUUUGCUUUUCCAAUGGGCAUAUAAACAGUAUAUAUGACCAUCGC